rnacentral:rRNA from 1 species
GACGAACGCUGGCGGCGUGCUUAACACAUGCAAGUCGAACGGAAAGGCCCUGCUUUUGUGGGGUGCUCGAGUGGCGAACGGGUGAGUAACACGUGAGUAACCUGCCCUUGACUUUGGGAUAACUUCAGGAAACUGGGGCUAAUACCGGAUAGGAGCUCCUGCUGCAUGGUGGGGGUUGGAAAGUUUCGGCGGGUGGGGAUGGACUCGCGGCUUAUCAGCUAGUUGGUGGGGUAGUGGCUUACCAAGGCUUUGACGGGUCGGCGGCAUGAGAGGGUGACCGGCCACAUUGGGACUGCGGGACGGCGCAGACUCCUACGGGAGGCAGCAGGGGGGAAUCUUGCACAGUGGGCGCAAGCCUGAUGAAGAAGCGCCGCGUGCGGGAUGACGGCCUUCGGGUUGUAAACAGCUGUCGCCUGUGACGACGCGUGAGUGACGGUACUGGGUAAAGAAGCACCGGCUAACUACGUG